CACGGAGUUAGCCGGUGCUUCUUCUGCGGGUAACGUCGAUGAGCAAAGGUAUUAACUUUACUCCCUUCCUCCCCGCUGAAAGUACUUUACAACCCGAAGGCCUUCUUCAUACACGCGGCAUGGCUGCAUCAGGCUUGCGCCCAUUGUGCAAUAUUCCCCA
rnacentral:rRNA from 1 species